rnacentral:tRNA from 1 species
GGCGUGGUCGCCAAGUGGUAAGGCAAAGGUCUGCAAAACCUUUAUUCAUGGGUCCGAAUCCCAUCCACGCCUCCA